rnacentral:rRNA from 1 species
CGACUGCUAAUACCGCAUAAUGUCUACGGACCAAAGGGGGCUUCGGCUCUCGCCUUUAGAUUGGCCCAAGUGGGAUUAGCUAGUUGGUGAGGUAAUGGCUCACCAAGGCGACGAUCCCUAGCUGGUUUGAGAGGAUGAUCAGCCACACUGGGACUGAGACACGGCCCAGACUCCUACGGGAGGCAGCAGUGGGGAAUAUUGCACAAUGGGCGCAAGCCUGAUGCAGCCAUGCCGCGUGUGUGAAGAAGGCCUUCGGGUUGUAAAGCACUUUCAGUCAGGAGGAAAGCGUGGUGGUUAAUACCCAUCAUGUGUGACGUUACUGACAGAAGAAGCACCGGCUAACUCCGUGCCAGCAGCCGCGGUAAUACGGAGGGUGCGAGCGUUAAUCGGAAUUACUGGGCGUAAAGCGUACGCAGGCGGUUUGUUAAGCGAGAUGUGAAAGCCCCGGGCUCAACCUGGGAACUGCAUUUCGAACUGGCAAACUAGAGUGUGAUAGAGGGUGGUAGAAUUUCAGGUGUAGCGGG